rnacentral:rRNA from 1 species
GGCGACUGAAGCGGGAAGAGCACACCGUGUGAAUCUGUACCAAUAUUGGUGCCGAGUUGUGGUCUGUAGAAGCAUCGUCGGUCAACGUUCCGGGCCAAGUCCCUUGGAAAAGGGCAGCAGAGAGGGUGACACUCCCGUUCUUGCCUGGAAUGUGUGAUCAUGGCACAUGCAUUCAACGAGUCGAGUUGCUUGGGAUUGCAGCUCAAAGUGGGUGGUAAAUUCCAUCUAAUGCUAAAUAUCGGUGGGAGACCGAUAGCGUACAAGUACCGUGAGGGAAAGAUGCAAAGAACUUUGAAAAGAGAGUUAAAGAGUACCUGAAGUUGCUGAAAGGGAAGCGAAGGAAACCAGUGCCAUUUUGUACUAUUUUCUCUUGCUGCUUGCGGCAGGAGCGUGUGGUACAGAGUUGGUCAGCAUGGCUUUGGACCGGAGUAAAUCGCAGUUUGGGAGGCAGGUAAUCUUUACCGAUCAUCAUCCUGUUGUACUCUGGUCUGGAGUGAGGCUAGUAUGUGUGAUGCUGACGAAAUGGUUUUCUUCUCCCCGUCUUGAAACACGGACCAAGGAGUCUAACAUUUGUGCGAGUAUAGGAGUGGCAAACUCCCAUGCGCAAUGAAAGUAACAGUGGUAGGACCUUCUAGGGCACUAUCCGCCGGCCACAAUCCCUCGGGAGAAAGGUCUGAGUGUGAGCAAAAAUGUUGGGACCCGAAAGAUGGUGAACUAUGCGUGAAUAGGGCGAAGUCAGGGGAAACUCUGAUGGAGCUCGUAGGGGUUCUGACGUGCAAAUCG